GUCAAUUAGGGAAAAUUUACUGUAAAGGCGACAAUAAUGUUCUGAGGAACUUAACAGUUUGGUGCACUGCAAUGGAGAUACUUUCGUCUGCAGUCGGCCUUUGAACUUCAGUUGUGAACGCGACACCACCCUGGCGCCACCGGCGCGCGACAUUUCGAUAGGGUCUAACAUGUUGCACUUGGUCAGUUGGUGUGAUAGGUCAUAGUUGAUCUCGUAACUGCUUGCUGGUACGAGCAGGUACAGCAAACAAAUUAAACAUAUUUUACAUUAUUAGUCAGCGAUUAGUCAGCAGUUACGUACAAAAUGGAGACGCUUGAACAUUAGCAUUCCGCAGAAGUAGCGCAAUGGCGUGCCGGUCCAACCUAACCUGGAGGCCUAAUCGAGUCUACAGGCGAUCUCAUGAUCUCGCGACACGCCUCUUUUGUACGGUCAUCAAGGCGGUGGAAAUAGCACUCCUCGCGGCCGGAUUUUCAAGUCGCCGCCGACGACGUACUGCAUCCUGGGACACGUCUCGACCGAGGACCGCCUCAAUUACCGUUGUCUCCACUCCUUCGCACGCGUGCAUUCGACGCACAACACAGACACUCUGCUCGGCAUUCUCGGGGAUCUCUCGCGGACGCCAUUUGCCACCACAGUUUUCACGGAACAGCUGCGCCUCUUCAGGAAAUAAUUUAGCACUUCGAAGGCAUCUUUCUUUCAAUGAGUAAUAUUUUUGAGAAUGUUCUAGCAUAUUUCUGAGGGAAAUUAUGUCUUCUAUGUAUUGCUGAUGUCUCUUUUUUUCAAGAAAUAAUAUUCUUCGAUAGCUUCAUUUGAGAAAUAACAUUUUUAACCAUUUUGCAGGCUUUUGUAUUCAGGAGACAAUAUUUUUUAAAGUUUGUUAAGGCGAUUCUUUGAGGAAUAAUGCUUUUGUUGGUUUGGUAGAAUAUUUUUCCAAGAAAUAAUAUUGUUGUUGGAUUAGUAGUUAAUAUAUUACAUCAAGGAGUAAUAUACUUUUGCUGAUUCAAUAAUGUAUUUCUCUCCAAGAAGUAGUACUUUUGUUGAUUUAAUAACGCACUGUAUUCUUCCAAGAAAUUUGUUGCUAUCUAGUAGUAUAUUUCUUCAUGAAAUAAUACGCUUUUCUUGUUUUAGCAGUAUAUUGCAUCGAGAAAUAAUAUACUUUUGCUGAUUUAGUAGCAUAUUCCUCCAAGAAAAAAUACUUUUGUCAAAUCAAUAAUAUAUUUCUUCAAGAAAUAAUACACUUUUGUAGCUUUUCUAGCAUAUUUAUCCCCCAAAAACAAAUACUUCUGUAUAUUUACCAGUAUAUUCCCUCGACGAAUAACAUCAAAUUAAAUGCAUCAACAGCCCCCUAUAAGAAAUAACAUGAUUCAACGAGACCUGCUAAAAUGUUCUUGAAUGAUGGACAACCAUGAAUGUAAAUAAACGUCCACCACAAUGUC